rnacentral:misc_RNA from 1 species
GUAUUUCAUUGCGUUAAACGCGACAUACAUUCCAUGAGACUUUGUUGUAGUGUGUGUGUAAAGACGCAGAACCACAGCAGGGGGACAGAGCCCACCCAGGCCAUAGAACUACAGAGGGUGCACAGGUGUGAGUGGAUGUGUAAACAGAGCGUGCACAUGCCCCCAUACAGGGACCAGCAACAACUCUUGUUGACAAUUCGGUAAUGAUCCUUCCGCAGGUUCACCUACGGAAA